UUGGAGAGAAUUUCAAGGGGGAUUUCAUCAAGCAUCAAAGAUUCGACGCGCGAAGAGGUCGAUUCAAGAGGAAAGGGCAUUGCGGACUAGUCUACGGCCGGUCAGAGGU